UCUUAUGGACGAGCAAGAUGAGUGGUUUCUUGAGCCGGAAUCUACUCCUGGUGAAGCUGCUGUGAA
rnacentral:pre_miRNA from 1 species